GGCGGAUGUAGCCAAGUGGAUCAACGCAGU
rnacentral:tRNA from 1 species